rnacentral:rRNA from 1 species
CCUACGGGAGGCAGCAGUGACGAAUAUUGGUCAAUGGACGAGAGUCUGAACCAGCCAAGUAGCGUGAAGGAUGACUGCCCUAUGGGUUGUAAACUUCUUUUAUAUGGGAAUAAAAUGUUCCACGUGUGGGAUUUUGUAUGUAGCAUAUGAAUAAGGAUCGGCUAACUCCGUGCCAGCAGCCGCGGUAAUACGGAGGAUCCGAGCGUUAUCCGGAUUUAUUGGGUUUAAAGGGAGCGUAGGUGGAUUGUUAAGUCAGUUGUGAAAGUUUGCGGCUCAACCGUAAAAUUGCAGUUGAAACUGGCAGUCUUGAGUACAGUAGAGGUGGGCGGAAUUCGUGGUGUAGCGGUGAAAUGCUUAGAUAUCACGAAGAACUCCGAUUGCGAAGGCAGUUCACUGGACUGCAACUGACACUGAGGCUCGAAAGUGUGGGUAUCAAACAGGAUUAGAUACCCCUGUAGUC